rnacentral:rRNA from 1 species
AUUGAACGCUGGCGGCAGGCCUAACACAUGCAAGUCGAGCGAGCGGCGGACGGGUGAGUACUGGCUGGGAAACUGCCGGAUGGAGGGGGAUAACUACUGGCAACGGUAGCUAAUACCGCAUACCAUCAGAUGUGCCCAGAUGGGAUUUGCUAGUCGGUGGGGUAACGGCUCACCUAGGCGACGAUCCAUAGCUGGUCUGAUCGGAUGACCAGCCGCACUGGAACUGAGACACGGUCCAGACUCCUACGGGAGGCAGCGGUGGGGAAUAUUGCGCAAUGGGCGCAAGCCUGAUGCAGCAAUGCCGCGUGUGUGAAGAAGGCCUUCGGGUUGUAAAGCACUUUCGGCGGGGAGGCGUUACCCGGAGAAGAAGCACCGGCUAACUCCGUGCCAGCAGCCGCGGUAAUUC